rnacentral:lncRNA from 1 species
AAAAUUGAAACCUAAUGGGAGGGGGGUAGCCAGCCUUUUCUUCGUCGCAGUGGAUAGGCUAGUGGUCCACCAAAGCCUAGUUCCCUACAUGGCUGUGCGAGUCGAUUCACGCUGACUCGCCUGUUCUUCGAGACCCUGAUGAUAAUUCAGUUUCCGUGGAGAUUUUGAGGGUUUUCUAAUCUCUCUAUUUGCAGCUAAGUCAUCGACGGUCAUCUUCACCAAGUCCACCG